rnacentral:misc_RNA from 1 species
UAAAAAAAAAAACAACACUAGGCUGUAUUGGUUCUAAUGUCUUUGCCUAUAUAAUAUUUUAGGUUAGUUUUAGCGAUGUUUUAAAAAUAUUUAUAAUUUUUUGCUCAUGAAGGAUUUUUUUUAUAUGCUUAUUCUAAAAAUCAGGAAAAAUGCAAGUGUUUGAAAUAGAUAAUGUAAAAAUUUACAAUCUCAGCAGUGGAAAAUCAUUACCAGAUUGGCUAACAGAGAGAAAAAAACGAGCUUUGUUGAAGAAAAAUGUAGACCUCAGGAGAAGAAUUGAACUUAUUCAGGAAUUUGAUAUGCCUGGUGUGAGUACCAGCUUGCGAGUUUCUAAAGAUGGACAGUAUAUUAUGGCAACAGGUAUCUACAAACCAAGAAUCAAAUGUUUUGAUGUUAACAAUUUGUCUCUGAAAUUCGAGAGAUGCUUAGAUUCUGAAGUAGUCACAUUUGAAAUUCUAAGUGAUGAUUACACAAAGAUUGUAUUCUUACAAUGUGACCGUUACAUUGAAUUCCACGUUGGACAUGGCAGGCACUAUCGGUUAAGAGUUCCACGUUUUGGAAGAGAUAUAGCUUAUCACCGUCCAUCUUGUGACUUAUUUGUUGUUGGUGCAUCCUCAGAAAUUUACAGAUUAAAUCUAGAACUGGGUCAAUUUUUAGCACCAUAUGUGACAAAAGCAACUGAAAUAAACUGCUGUACUGUCAAUGAAAGUCAUGGUUUAGUAAUAACAGGUAGUGGAAGUGGACAUGUGGAAGCAUGGGACCCUCGUACUAAAACUAGGCAAGGAAUAUUAGAUUGUGCUAUACAUUGUACAGACUAUGAUUAUCGUUUUGAUCUUUACAGAAAUGACAGUUUACCAGCUAUAACAUCUCUGAAAUUUGAUGAUGCCCUUAAGAUGGGUGUGGGAACAUCAACUGGCCAUGUCUUAUUAUAUGAUAUAAGAUCAAGUAAACCUCUAUUAAUUAAAGAUCAUCUGAAUGAAAUGCCUAUCAAAAAUAUAGAAUUCCACAAACAAAUGGACUAUGUAUACACUAUGGAUGCGAAAGUUGUGAAGAUUUGGGACAAAAAUACUGGUAAACAGUACACAAGUAUUGAGUCAUCAGUAGAUUUUAAUGAUUUAUGUGUUAUUCCAAAUACUGGUCUAAGUAUGAUGGCAGUUGAAGAACAAAAAAUGCAAAUAUAUUACAUUCCUUCUUUAGGGCCUGCACCAAGGUGGUGUGCAUUCUUAGAUAACUUGACAGAAGAGUUAGAAAGUUCAGCUGCACAGACAGUGUAUGAUGAUUACAAAUUUGUAACAAAACAAGAGUUGGAGUCUCUUGGUUUAGAUCACCUGCUUGGAACAAAUCUUUUAAGAGCUUAUAUGCAUGGGUAUUUUGUGGACGUGAGAUUAUACAAGAGAGCAAAAUCAAUAGCAGAUCCGUUUGCAUUUGAAGAAUACAAGAAACGGAAAAUAAGAGAAAAGAUUGAACAAGAACGACCAUCUCGAAUCAAAAUUGAAGAUAACUUACCGAAAGUUAAUAAAGACUUGGCUUCUCGGCUUAUGGAUAUUGAUGCUCAUAAGAAAAAACAACCUACCAAUUUAUUAAAAGACGAUAGAUUUAAGGCACUAUUUGAAAAUCCAGACUUUGAAGUUGACAAAGAGGCGGAAGAAUAUAAACUACUUAAUCCAGUUCUAUCUAGACUUGAUAAAAACAAAGUUAAAACCAAGAGUGUUAAUACAGAUAUUGUACAGAAUAUUGAAGAACAAGAAGAUAAAGAUUCCGACAUAGAAUUGUAUGAAUCAACUGAAGAAAGUUCCGACGAAGAUCGUUCGUGGGUAAAGGAAGUUAAGAAACAACACAAAAUCAUAAAAUAUAAAAAACAAGAUGUAGAUCAGUUAGAUAACUCUAAUAAGGAAAGUAUAUACGAAUUAAACCAAGCUCCAAAAAUUACAAGUAAUAUUAGAAGUAUAACAAAAGUAAGUAAAGCAAGCUUAGGUGAUCGCCUAGCUAAAGAGGGUUACUCAGCUAUGGUGACUGGAACAGGAGGCAACAGGGAGAUGAAGUUUACAAUGCGAGGAAAGAAAUCUGAAUCAGAAAAACAUAAAAAAAUGAAAAAGCAUUAUCAAGAAAGGAAACAGAUUGUUCGAAAAACAGGAUUUUUAACAAAAAGAAAGUUGCCGAAAAUGUUAUAACAACAUAUACUUGCAUAAUAUUUAAUUACUAUAGAUCAUGAGCGGUCUGGACAAAAGUGAAUCACUCCGUAAAGUGCUAGGUCACUCCUCCAGUGCCGUCCGUCUAAUAGAUAUACAGUGGAAAUAUUUAUCACUAAAAUGGUAGACAAUAGUCAGCAAAUGCAUUUGGCUACGACAUUAAGAGGAAAGGGAUUGUUAGUAAGUUAUU